rnacentral:rRNA from 1 species
UACGUAGGGUGCAAGCGUUAAUCGGAAUUACUGGGCGUAAAGCGUGCGCAGGCGGUCUUGCAAGACAGAUGUGAAAUCCCCGGGCUCAACCUGGGAACUGCAUUUGUGACUGCAAGGCUGGAGUGCGGCAGAGGGGGAUGGGAUUCCGCGUGUAGCAGUGAAAUGCGUAGAUAUGCGGAGGAACACCGAUGGCGAAGGCAAUCCCCUGGGCCUGCACUGACGCUCAUGCACGAAAGCGUGGGUAGCAAACGGG